CCUACGGGAGGCUGCAGUGGGGAAUAUUGCACAAUGGGGGAAACCCUGAUGCAGCGACGCCGCGUGAGUGAAGAAGUAACUCGUUAUGUUAAGCUCUAUCAGUAGGGAAGAAAAUGACGGUACCUGAGUAAGAAGCCCCGGCCAACUACGUGCCAGAAGCCGCGGUAAUACGCAGGGAGCAAGCGUUAUCCGGAUUUACUGGGUGUAAAGGGAGUGUAGGCGGCAGUGCAAGUCUGGAGUGAAAGGCGGGGGCUCAACCCCCGGACUGCUCUGGAAACUGUACGGCUGGAGUGCAGGAGAGGUAAGUGGAAUUCCUGGUGUAGCGGUGAAAUGCGUAGAUAUUAGGAGGAACGCCGAUGGCGAAGGCAGCUUACUGGACUGUAACUGACGUUGAGGCUCGAAAGCGUGGGGAGCGAACAGGAUUAGAUACCCCUGUAGUC
rnacentral:rRNA from 1 species